rnacentral:hammerhead_ribozyme from 1 species
AUCCGGCUGACGAGUUCCGAAUAAGACGAAAUGUGAGUCUUGGAU